rnacentral:snRNA from 1 species
GUAAAUUGGAAUGAUACGGAGAGGAUUAGCAUGGCCUCUGUGCAAGGAUGACAUACAAAUUUGUGAAUCAUGCUUUAUUUUU